GGCUGCCGGCUCUGAGUGACCGGGGUCGCGCCCGGCUCCGCGGCUGCACGGUGAGAGCCGCCGCGCUUCUGAGGAGCGGCCUGACUGGGGAACGGCCACGGGAGGUACAGGGCCUGGGGCAUUUACUGCCGUAAUUAUGCUCCUUGCCUUCACUUCAUACCCUGUGAGGACGGCUGCAGCCAGGACAAUUUUCUUCACGCCUAGGUAGAACUGAAAGCAUGUUUGCAGCCAGCUAUAGUGGCUCAGGUGCCUGACACCAGCUCCUUCAAAGAAGAUCACUGCAUAUGCUGUUGGGGCGGUUUGAAAUCCUAAGAAACACGAAGAGCUUGUUCAAAGCUGCAGCUCCACCUAAACAAGAAUGGUUGCAGUAAUACAAUUCCUAAUGUGGACGCUGUUAACAGAAGAGUUGUAAACCAAAACCAGGAUUCUUUGCAUCGUCACAGCAGCUGUUCAGGCAUACUGUAUUCCCUCAGCAUCCACACAGAAAACUUGAGGUAGUUCAUUUUGAUACUAACACUUGCCAUUGCACUCCUGUAUGCCCUUUUCUAAUCAAGGUUUGCCUCAUGCAUUCAGAAAUACAACUUAAGAGAAAGGUGGUGGUUCUAAACUGUAAUUUCUUUGACUAAUGACAGAGCAGUUUGUUUGAUGGGGCCUUCAAAAUAAUUAUCCCCCUACGAAUAACCAUUGCCCACAGUUUGUUGCAUCUGUUCUUGCAAACAGGUGAUAACUACCAUGGAUUUGUGAUGCUGCCAGCAGAAAACAGCUUAGAUUCCAUUCUGUCUCUGCCAGCCUGCAGUAACUUGGAUGUCUGCAAACUUGAAUGUAUUUGAGCUGCUGCUGUGGCCUGAAAUGGUGACUCAUUCUCCAUUUUGUGAUUUUUUGGGAAUUUCCACACAACUGAAAAAGGUGCACUGGUGAAAACCCCACCUUCAAUUGCAUGAGCCACUGAUGGAAAUGAGUGAAGGGCUCACAGUGUAUGCAUGCACAACUCGUCUCCAUUCCCAGACUCAAUCUGUUAAGUCAAACAUUGUAUGACUUGUCAAGUCACUAAACUGCUAAUCACUGGCUUGUUACCAUCUGUUUCCUCUCAAUGUAGGUUACAUUUUUAUUUGGAGUAGUUUUUCCUGGUUGUCUGUUUAUACCUUUAAGAGCAGGCUUAUGAUGAAUCAAACUGCUUUUAAAAUGCAUUAAAAAAUAGGUUGCACCAGUUUAAUUAAGUUUACAAGUCUCCUGAAAUUAAACCAGUAUGUAUUUCAUAAGUGGCCAGUGACAGUACUGAAAGCCCAAAGGUGUGGUCAGGAUGCAUAAACAGGAGACAGUGCAGUUAAGUGACUGUGAAAGCACAGUAGUGCUUAUGAGAAACAGUGGUAAGUGUCCACAGGAGAUCUAUGCAUCAAAAAUUUGCUUAGAAAGUGAGUAUUGUUUUUAUGGAAUGAUACAACUGAAUUAAAUUUGGACUUUAAACAAGUUUCUACCUGGAAAUUUAAUUAAAAUGUACUAGUAGACUAUGACUCAAUUUGCUAUUGCACAAAAAUACAGAAUAUUCAUUUUUGUUGAAAAAAAACAUCAGAAGCCAUCCACUAUUACUUUAAGAGUUGCACAUUUUAUUAACUUCAGAGAAGACUCCAUGCUUCCUUCACUUAAAUACCCUGAUCCUGGACUUGAUUUGCAUACCACUAUCCCCAGUAUUUUUCUAAUGAAGAGGUAGACAUACAAUUCUGCAACUAGUCCUGUAGGCAAAAAAAGUUUUUGUAUACAUUUUUCUAACACUAUAGCAUUAAACUGGGCGUCUCCAUUAAAAAACACACACAGAAGAAAAUUGUAUUGCUUUGUGACUUCAGAAGAUAAGAAGUAAUCUUCACACCAGAGGGAGAAAAUGGGAAGUCAUGAUUUACACAACAGAUUUCAAAACUUAAAAAGUUGCCUACUUUUAAUCACAGUUUUAGAGUACACUUGUGGGUGGGUAAUCUGUAAAACAUUAAUUGCUAUUUCUUCCCACUCACCUCUUCUUAAUUGAGCCAUUUUAUAUCUAUAAACACACAGAAUAAGGAAAUAUAAAAGAAUAAUUUAAUAAAACAUGAUAUGUACUGAUUCAUAUUGGACUCCUUUCAAGUCAAGAAGUUAUGACAUAUGUAAGAAUGUAUAUAAACUUGUUGCUGAAGCUGCCUUUGGGCUUGUGCUUCUGUGUAGGGAAUGAGACUUGGUAAAGCACAGAAUCUUGGUGAACUUUUAUAUUCAUUCCUUUAUUAUAAAAAUCUUUUUCAAA